UUUCCUCAGUUCAGGAUCCUGAGUACGGCGGAACACGUGAAACUCCGUCGGAAUCCGGGAGGACCAUCUCCCAAGGCUAAAUACUACCUAGUGACCGAUAGUGAACCAGUACCGUGAGGGAAAGGUGAAAAGCACCCCGGGAGGGGAGUGAAAUAGUUCCUGAAACCAUAUGCCUACAAGUAGUCAGAGCUCGUUAAUGAGUGAUGGCGUGCCUUUUGUAGAAUGAACCGGCGAGUUACGUUAGCGUGCGAGGUUAAGGAGGAAAGUCCGGAGCCGUAGCGAAAGCGAGUCUGAAUAGGGCGAGAUAGUACGUUGACGUAGACCCGAAACCAGGUGACCUACCCAUGUCCAGGUUGAAGGUGCGGUAAAACGCACUGGAGGACCGAACCCGUGUAUGUUGAAAAAUGCUGGGAUGAGGUGUGGGUAGAGGUGAAAUUCCAAACGAACUUGGAGAUAGCUGGUUCUCUCCGAAAUAGCUUUAGGGCUAGCCUCGGAGUUAAGAAUCGUGGAGGUAGAGCACUGUUUGGACUAGGGGCCCGUCUUGGGUUACUGAAUUCAGAUAAACUCCGAAUGCCACAGAUUUAUAUCCGGGAGUCAGACUGCGAGUGAUAAGAUCCGUAGUCGAAAGGGAAACAGCCCAGACCACCGAUUAAGGUCCCAAAAUAUGUGUUAAGUGGAAAAGGAUGUGGAAUUGCAUAGACAACUAGGAUGUUGGCUUAGAAGCAGCCACCAUUUAAAGAGUGCGUAAUAGCUCACUAGUCGAGUGAUCCUGCGCCGAAAAUGUAACGGGGCUAAACACAUUACCGAAAUCGUGGAUGUACC
rnacentral:rRNA from 1 species